GUGCAAGGCGCAAGAAAGGCGCGUCUAAUAUAUAUUUGAUCCUACUAGGUUUGGAUCUAAAAAUAUAUACUUUAAUGGGUUUGGAUCUUAUAUUUAUUGGUCUAAUGGGUUUAAAACAUAUAAAAUAAACCCAAAACCAAUCUAAUCUAAAGUUCUAAAACCUAAACAUCUAUCCGCUCCAUCUCUCUCUCGCCGAGUCUGCUCCCUCUUCUCUCACUGAGUCCGCUCCCUCUCCCUCUCUCCGCUCGGACCGAUCCUCUCUCCCACUCGUCCAUUACCUCCGGUUGCCUCUGGCUAUCCCCCUCUGCUUUUUCAACUCAACUCGCCUCUCCCUCUAUAUUAAAGCGCGCUUUUUUAAUCACUGCUUUCACAUGAUCAUUAUACUUUUUUAAUAAUUUUUGGUUUGAAACUUUAAACUUUUAU
rnacentral:lncRNA from 1 species